rnacentral:rRNA from 1 species
UACGUAGGGGGCUAGCGUUGUCCGGAAUCAUUGGGCGUAAAGAGCGUGUAGGCGGUCCGGUAAGUCCGCUGUGAAAGUCGGGGGCUCAACCCUCGAAUGCCGGUGGAUACUGUCGGGCUAGAGUGCGGAAGAGGCGAGUGGAAUUCCCGGUGUAGCGGUGAAAUGCGCAGAUAUCGGGAAGAACACCCGUGGCUAAGGCGGCUCUCUAGUACGGUACUGACGCUGAGACGCGAAAGCGUAGGGAGCGAACAGG